GUUGUUGCAGUUAAAAGCUCGUAGUUGAAUUUCGGGGUUAGUAGGUUGGUCAUGCCUCUGGUAUGUACUGAUCUCACUGAUUCCUCCUUCCUUAUGAACCGUAAUGCCAUUAAUUUGGUGUUGCGGGGAAUUUGGACUGUUACUUUGAAAAAAUUAGAGUGUUUAAAGCAGGCUAACGCUUGAAUACAUUAGCAUGGAAUAAUGAAAUAGGACGUUCGAU
rnacentral:rRNA from 1 species